rnacentral:misc_RNA from 1 species
AAGGAUCAUUACCGAGUUUUCAACUCCCAAACCCCAUGUGAACUUAUACCAUUUACAACCGUUGCUUCGGCGGGUUCUCGCCCCGGGCUUUACACCCCGGAACCAGGCGGCCCGCCGGGGGACCCAAACUCUAGAUUUUUAUUUUAGCAUGUCUGAGUGGAAUCAUUACAAAAUGAAUCAAAACUUUCAACAACGGAUCUCUUGGUUCUG